GGAUAACCUGCCCUUGGGACCGGCAUAACCCCGGGAAACUGGGGAUAAUUCCGGAUAACGCAUAUGUGCUGGAAUGCUUUAUGCGUAAAAUGGAUUCGUCUGCCCAAGGAUGGGUCUGCGGCCUAUCAGGUAGUAGUGGGUGUAAUGUACCUACUAGCCAACAACGGGUACGGGUUGUGAGAGCAAGAGCCCGGAGAUGGAUUCUGAGACAUGAAUCCAGGCCCUACGGGGCGCAGCAGGCGCGAAAACUUUACAAUGCGGGAAACCGUGAUAAGGGGACACCGAGUGCCAGCGUCAUACGCUGGCUGUCCGGGUGUGUAAAAUACACCUGUCAGCAAGGGCCGGGCAAGACCGGUGCCAGCCGCCGCGGUAACACCGGCGGCCCGAGUGGUGAUCGUGAUUAUUGGGUCUAAAGGGUCCGUAGCCGGUUUGGUCAGUCCUCCGGGAAAUCUGACGGCUCAACCGUUANGCUUUCGGGGGAUACUGCCAGGCUUGGAACCGGGAGAGGUAAGAGGUACUACAGGGGGUAGGAGUGAAAUCUUGUAAUUCCCUGUGGGACCACCUGUGGCGAANGCGUCUUACCANAACGGGUUCGACGGUGANGGGACGAAAGCUGGGGGCACGAACCCGGAUUANAUACCCNGGUUAGUUCCCANNCCGUNAAAACNAUGCUCGCUUAGNUGUUCAAGGCAUGGGCGCCAACCCGUGUUUUGGUGCCNCAAGGGGAANCCCGNGAAAACCANCCCNCCCUNGGGAAGUCCCGGCCNCAAAGGCUGAAACUUAA
rnacentral:rRNA from 1 species